rnacentral:tRNA from 1 species
GCCACCUUAGCUCAGCUGGUAGAGCAGACGAUUCGUAAUCGUCAGGUCAUGAGUUCGAACCUCAUAGGUGGCU